AGCAGCCGCGGUAAUUCCAGCUCCAAUAGCGUAUAUUAAAGUUGUUGCAGUUAAAAAGCUCGUAGUUGAAUUUCGGGAUUGACGUGAUGGUCGUGCCUUAAGGGGUAUGAACUGUUGCUGUUGAUUUCUCACCUUCUGGAGAAACUUGAUGUCCUUAAUUGGGUGUCUUGCGGAUCCAGGACCUUUACCUUGAAAAAAUUAGAGUGUUUAAAGCAGGCAUUUUGCUCGAAUACAUUAGCAUGGAAUAAUAGAAUAGGACGGCAUGGUUCUAUUUUGUUGGUUUCUAGGAUCACCGUAAUGAUUAAUAGGGAUAGUUGGGGGCAUUAGUAUUCAAUUGUCAGAGGUGAAAUUCUUGGAUUUAUUGAAGACUAACUACUGCGAAAGCAUUUGCCAAGGAUGUUUUCAUUAAUCAAGAACGAAAGUUAGGGGAUCGAAGACGAUCAGAUACCGUCGUAGUCUUAACCAUAAACUAUGCCGACUAGGAAUCAGACGAUGUUAAUUUUUUAAUGACUCGUUUGGCACCUUACG
rnacentral:rRNA from 1 species